GGCACUGCCUAGGUGGGCCGGGCGGUGCGAGGGUCGCCUUUCAGCCUUUACCUCUACCCACUGAAAUGGAGUAGGUCGGUGAGCGCCGAUCUGCUGGAGAAUCUCAUUAUCCCAUCGGCGCUCUGCCUGCUCCUGGCCUCCAAGCCUCUGAAGCCCCUCGGGUUUCAGCUGCCGGCUACCCUCGAGCCCGUGGUGCCCACGAGAGAGGCGACUUUACGUCAGCGGCCCUGGGCUGAGAUUUGAGAACGCGACCAAGUGGAGAAUGUUGGAGCCAGAUUUUAAAAUCCUUGUCUUCCUUCUGCGUGCUACUUGAUCUAAAUGAGAUACGGCAAAGUCACAGAACCUGUUUUUAUGUUUUUGCCUGAUUCAUACGGGCUUCUCCGGUGAAGAUGGGCCUGAAGUAACGCUUGGGUUGCUUCUGACGUUAUAACUCAUCCUGUAGCUGCAGCAACCGUGGUCCUUGCAACCUCAUAAAAAUGUUGCCAGCAUUGUUUCGAUAGUGCUGCUUAAUUCUUGGAAGGUUCUUCGGACUUCACACAUUCCAGCAGUAGCUCUCUCAGCUCCUGUCCUGCACAGCUUUGAAGUGCUGGACACAGGACUGGGCUGUGGCCCUUGGCGAGCCUCCCAAGCUAUUCAGUGAUGUUAGACAACCCACUUACCUUCUCUGAAAUUUACUUUUCUUAUAUGUAAAAUGCAGCUAUUGUACAGGACACAGCCCUGGUGAUGGCUUUCUGAGGAUGACACGAUGGAGGCUUCUCCAAUAGCUCUAAAACUGCGGUGUGGAAAACAUUCGGCAGCCUCAAAGAGCGGUCUUGUUGACCCCAACUAUAUCAUUUUUCAUCAAAAUCAUUCUUGUAAAGAAUGACCAGGCAACACUCUUUGAAAAUUGGAGGCCAUUUGCAGCUGCUCUCUGUUGAGGAAAGUGAAUAAUAGGGUGCCCUCAAGGAAUUGCAAAGGUAUCACUCAACAGAAACUUUCGUGUCUGAAGAAAACUAGAUCAUUUUAUCAUGGUAGGCAUGCUGAUAUGUUUGCUUUAAUAAAAUGCCAUAUUUCUGCCUUUAAUCUCUUGUCAACCCGCUAUUAAAAAGCCCCAAAGUGCAUGUGUGCAGCGCAUGUAAACACUUGUGGUUUUGAGGUUACCACAGAACAUACUAAUAAAGCAUGUAAUUUG
rnacentral:lncRNA from 1 species